CCUACGGGAGGCAGCAGUGGGGAAUAUUGGACAAUGGGGGCAACCCUGAUCCAGCCAUGCCGCGGGUGUGAAGAAGGCCCUCGGGUUGUAAAGCACUUUCAGUGAGGAAGAACGCCUGGUGGUUAAUACCCAUCAGGAAAGACAUCACUCACAGAAGAAGCACCGGCUAACUCCGUGCCAGCAGCCGCGGUAAUACGGAGGGUGCGAGCGUUAAUCGGAAUUACUGGGCGUAAAGCGCGCGUAGGUGGCUUGAUAAGCCGGUUGUGAAAGCCCCGGGCUCAACCUGGGAACGGCAUCCGGAACUGUCAAGCUAGAGUGCAGGAGAGGAAGGUAGAAUUCCCGGUGUAGCGGUGAAAUGCGUAGAGAUCGGGAGGAAUACCAGUGGCGAAGGCGGCCUUCUGGACUGACACUGACACUGAGGUGCGAAAGCGUGGGUAGCAAACAGGAUUAGAUACCCUGGUAGUC
rnacentral:rRNA from 1 species